rnacentral:rRNA from 1 species
AGUGAACGCUGGCGGUAGGCCUAAUACAUGCAAGCCGAGCGGCAGCACAGUAAGAUCUCUCCCUUACGGUUGGCGAGUGGCGGACGGGUGACACAUACAUCGGCUUCUUCUUUUUCGUGGGGGAUAACGUAGGGACACUUACGCUAAUGCCGCAUAUGUCCAACGGCUUAGAGCAGGGGAUCUUCGCACCUUUCGCGUUUCUAUGAGCCGAUGUCGCAUUAGCUAGUUGGCUAGGUAAAGGCUCACCAAGGCAACGAUCCGUAGCUGAUCUGAGAGGAUGAUCAGCCACACUGGAACUGAGACACGGUCCAGACUCCUACGGGAGGCAGCAGUGGGGAAUAUUGCACAAUGGGCGCAAGCCUGACGGAGCCACGCCGCGUGAGUGAAGAAGGUCUUCGGAUCGUAAAGCUCUGUUAUUAGGGAAGAACAGAAGUGUAAGUAACUCUGGACGUCCUGACGGUACCUAAAGAGAAAGCAACGGCUAACUUCGUG